GCCCCUGUAGCUCAUCGGUAGAGCGGCUGCCUUGUAAGCAGCAGGUAGUGGGUUCAAUUCCCAUCGGGGGCU
rnacentral:tRNA from 1 species